GAUGAAGAACGCAGCGAAAUGCGAUAAGUAAUGUGAAUUGCAGAAUUCAGUGAAUCAUCGAAUCUUUGAACGCACAUUGCGCCCGCUGGUAUUCCGGCGGGCAUGCCUGUUCGAGCGUCAUUUCAACCCUCAAGCUCUCCGGAGUUUGGUGUUGGGGCGCCUGGGGCUUUUCGACCUCAGGGCCCUCAAGUCCAUCGGCGGGACCGCCAGGACACUGAGCGCAGUAGUAUUAUUUCGCUCGGUAGGAUCUUCCACGGCGGGUCGAUCUGGCCGCUAAACCCCCCAAUUCUCACCACAGGUUGACCUCGGAUCAGGUAGGAAUACCCGCUGAACUUAAGCAUAUCAAUAAGCGGAGGA
rnacentral:misc_RNA from 1 species